GUUAACACCAUGUAGGGGAGCAGGUGCCUUAAAGUCUGGCUUCGCCCCCAAAAGAGAAAAGAAAAUACGGUGCCAGAUGCAUGUUCACGAAAGAGUGCUCUCACCUGCUGUCUCCAAGUAAAGCCAGUGGUUAACCUUCUUGCAUCUUUGCAAGGCGGGAGACAUGACGCUAAGAGCACACCCAGUGCCAGAAGAAUUCCCUCAGGAGUACAUCUGAUAGGAACUUCCACAAAACUAACUGAGGGAAAGUCAGCCAUGGCUGGGAAAAAGGAAGACUGGUGACAGAAACCAUCUUGAACAAAGCAUGUAACUUGCUGGAGUACGUUUUAG